rnacentral:rRNA from 1 species
UGGGGAAUCUUGCGCAAUGGGCGAAAGCCUGACGCAGCGAUGCCGCGUGCGGGAUGAAGGCCUUCGGGUUGUAAACCGCUUUCAGCAGGGACGAAAUUGACGGUACCUGCAGAAGAAGCCCCGGCCAACUACGUGCCAGCAGCCGCGGUAAUACGUAGGGGGCGAGCGUUGUCCGGAUUUAUUGGGCGUAAAGAGCUCGUAGGCGGUUCGGUAAGUCGGAUGUGAAAUCUCCACGCUCAACGUGGAGAGGCCAUUCGAUACUGCCGUGACUCGAGUCCGGUAGGGGAGUGUGGAAUUCCCGGUGUAGCGGUGAAAUGCGCAGAGAUCGGGAGGAACACCCGUAGCGAGGGCGGCACUCUGGGCCGGUACUGACGCUGAGGAGCGAAAGCGUGGGGAGCAAACAGG